CGACUAAGCGUACACGGUGGAUGCCCUGGCAGUCAGAGGCGAUGAAGGACGUGCUAAUCUGCGAAAAGCGUCGGUAAGGUGAUAUGAACCGUUAUAACCGGCGAUGUCCGAAUGGGGAAACCCAGUGUGAUUCGUCACACUAUCGUUAACUGAAUACAUAGGUUAACGAGGCGAACCGGGGGAACUGAAACAUCUAAGUACCCCGAGGACAAGAAAUCAACCGA
rnacentral:rRNA from 1 species